UGUUGAUUUUCUGUCUUCUCCAUUAGAAUGUAAACUUCACAAGGUCAGGGGCUGACUGUUUUCCGUCCCUAGGGCCUCACGCACUCAGGUUGGAGGAAAUCCUCAGAAUAUCGGAUCAGUCUUUCUACCCUCCUUUCUUGGUUCCUCCUUGCUCUUGAUGAAUUUUUUACAUUUUCUCUCCAUUUUAUAAACUUAUAUUUGGCAAAACCAGAGGUGACUUACUAUAUUGCCUGUAUCUUAUUCCUUUUUAUAGAAUUUUCUUUUCUUUUUUUCCCCCUUACCUGGAUAGAUGCUAUGCUAGGGACUGAGAGACAAUCUUCUGAAGCAUCCAUGCCUUCAAACAGUGUUGCUAGUUUUGUAUUCUGUAAACACAGCCAUAGAAGAGGCACUGGGGGAGCUUAGUCCAUGGAGUGUCUGCCUUUUGGUUUUGGCUCAGGUCAUGAUCUCAGGCUCAGUGGGAAGUCUGCUUGAGAUUUUCUCCCUCUGCCUCUCCCCCUACUUUCAUGCCCAUUCUCUGAAAUUGAUUAAUAACCCAA